UACGGAGGGGGCUAGCGUUGUUCGGAAUUACUGGGCGUAAAGCGCACGUAGGCGGCUUUUGUAAGUUAGAGGUGAAAAGCCCGGGGCUCAACUCCGGAAUUGCCUUUAAGACUGCAUCGCUAGAAUUGUGGAGAGGUAAGUGGAAUUCCGAGUGUAGAGGUGAAAAUUCGUAGAUAUUCGGAAGAACACCAGUGGCGAAGGCGACUUACUGGACACAUAUUUGACGCUGAGGUGCGAAAAGCGUGGGGGAGCAAAACAGG
rnacentral:rRNA from 1 species